rnacentral:misc_RNA from 1 species
AUGCGAUAAGUAAUGUGAAUUGCAGAAUUCAGUGAAUCAUCGAAUCUUUGAACGCACCUUGCGCUCCUUGGUAUUCCUCGGAGCAUGCCUGUUUGAGUAUCAUGAAAUUAUCAAAGUAAAUCUUUUGUUCAUUCGAUUGAUUUUAUUUUGGACUUGGGGGUCUGCAGAUUCACGUCUGCUCCCCUUAAAUUCAUUAGCUGGAUCACUGUAGACUCGGUUCCACUCGGCGUGAUAAGUAUCACUCGCUGAGGACACUCGUAAAAAAAGUGGCCGGGACUACUAGAGAACCGCUUCCAAUAGUCCAUUAGCUUGGACAAUUACAUUUAUGAUCUGAUCUCAAAUCAGGUAGGACUACCCGCUGAACUUAA